UGAGGAAUAUUGGUCAAUGGGCGCAAGCCUGAACCAGCCAAGUCGCGUGAGGGAAGACGGCCCUACGGGUUGUAAACCUCUUUUGCCGGGGAGCAAGCCUGAGCACGUGUGCCCAGGCGGAGAGUACCCGGAGAAAAAGCAUCGGCUAACUCCGUGCCAGCAGCCGCGGUAAUACGGAGGAUGCGAGCGUUAUCCGGAUUUAUUGGGUUUAAAGGGUGCGCAGGCGGGCUGUUAAGCCGGCGGUAAAAAUUCAGGGCUCAACCCUGUCGAGCCGUCGGAACUGGCAGUCUUGAGUGGGCGAGA
rnacentral:rRNA from 1 species